rnacentral:misc_RNA from 1 species
GGGGGGGAAAGAUGGCGGAGCUGAUGCUGCUCAGCGAGAUUGCUGACCCGACGCGUUUCUUCACCGACAACCUGCUUAGCCCGGAGGACUGGGGUCUGCAGAACAGCACCUUGUAUUCUGGCCUAGAUGAAGUGGCCGAGGAGCAGACGCAGCUCUUCCGUUGCCCGGAGCAGGAUGUCCCGUUUGACGGCAGCUCCCUGGACGUGGGGAUGGAUGUCAGCCCCUCUGAGCCCCCAUGGGAACUCCUGCCGAUCUUCCCAGAUCUUCAGGUGAAGUCUGAGCCAUCUUCCCCCUGCUCUUCCUCCUCCCUCAGCUCCGAGUCAUCGCGUCUCUCCACAGAGCCAUCCAGCGAGGCUCUUGGGGUAGGGGAGGUGCUCCAUGUGAAGACAGAGUCCUUGGCACCCCCACUGUGUCUCCUGGGAGAUGACCCAACAUCCUCAUUUGAAACCGUCCAGAUCAACGUUAUCCCCACCUCUGAUGAUUCCUCAGGUAAUAAAACAGCCUGCCCCCAAUCCUUGGCUCUACUACGGGAGAAUGUGUUAUGUGUGUGUGUGUAUGUGUGUA